AUGCUCUGCAGUGUAAACACAAAGCAGUGGCCCCAACUCAGGGCCAGAAAGGAAGGGAGGCUGCUUCUUCUUCUUCUUCAGACUACUUCUCCUGCAUCUCUUCUGAAGACAAGCACACUGUUGUUCGAGUCUCAAAGUUACAUGAAUAUGAUCUACCAUCUGGCUACUCUUGGGAGUACAAUGCCCUGGUACCUGAGGCAAGAAGUGGAGCCUCUGAAUCAGAAUACUUCUCCUGUGACUCCUCUUUUUCCAAUCCCUCUUGUGCUGAAUUCUGGAAGACUCCAGAGGAUACUUCUCAGCCUGAAUCAUAUGUGGAGGUCCCAGUCUGCAGUCAGACACCAGGAGAAAAGUCCUCUGACUCAGAAUAUUUCUCCUGUGUCUCCUCACCAUGCAAGCUUAUUUUUGCUGAUGAGGACGUUUUCUUACAGCAGCACAGACCCAGUGGUGCAAAGAUUUCAAACAAUGGUGUCCUGCACACUCCAAUGA
ensembl:lncRNA